CCUACGGGGGGCAGCAGUGAGGAAUAUUGGUCAAUGGACGAGAGUCUGAACCAGCCAAGUAGCGUGAAGGAUGACUGCCCUAUGGGUUGUAAACUUCUUUUAUAUGGGAAUAAAAUGUUCCACGUGUGGGAUUUUGUAUGUACCAUAUGAAUAAGGAUCGGCUAACUCCGGGCCAGCAGCCGCGGUAAUACGGAGGAUCCGAGCGUUAUCCGGAUUUAUUGGGUUUAAAGGGAGCGUAGGUGGAUUGUUAAGUCAGUUGUGAAAGUUUGCGGCUCAACCGUAAAAUUGCAGUUGAAACUGGCAGUCUUGAGUACAGUAGAGGUGGGCGGAAUUCGUGGUGUAGCGGUGAAAUGCUUAGAUAUCACGAAGAACUCCGAUUGCGAAGGCAGUUCACUGGACUGCAACUGACACUGAGGCUCAAAAGUGUGGGUAUCAAACAGGAUUAGAUACCCUAGUAGUC
rnacentral:rRNA from 1 species